GCCAGGUGUGAUGGCUCACACCUGUAAUCCCAGCACUUUGGGAGGCCGAGACGGGUGGAUCACUUGAGGUCAGGAGUUCGAGACCAGCCUGGCCAACACGGUGAAACCCUGUCUCUA
rnacentral:SRP_RNA from 1 species